UACAUGGGGUGCAAACGUUGCUCGGAAUUAUUGGGCGUAAAGCGCGCGUAGGCGGUUACUUAAGUCGGAUGUGAAAGCCCUCGGCUUAACUGAGGAAGUGCACCCGAAACUGAGUAGCUAGAGUACUAAAGAGGGUCGCGGAAUUCCCGGUGUAGAGGUGAAAUUCGUAGAUAUCGGGAGGAACACCGGUGGCGAAGGCGGCGACCUGGGUAGAGACUGACGCUGAGGCGCGAAAGCGUGGGGAGCAACAGG
rnacentral:rRNA from 1 species